UGCACUUACCGGCUGUGUGACCUUGACCAAAUUAGAGAAACAUUCUGGUCAUCUGUUUUAUGGUAGGGGAAACUAGGACAAUAAUUCCGAUUUAGGAGCUGUUGGAGAGAUGGAAAAAGACAAUAGGUGUGAAAUCUCCCAACACAUAGCAGCAUUCUGCCAGUCAGUUCAGCCUCUUACUGAGCCCCUACUGCAUACCACGUGCUGUUCUGGAUGUUAAGAUGCACAGAGUCCCUGAGGUGCUUAGUCAACUCAGAACGUGUCCUCUCAAAAGCUUCUUGGCUGCUUCAGACAAAGUGUCUAAACUCCUCUGCUUUGCA